CACUUAACGGUGGUGGCUGGUUCUGCGCCGGAUCCGGGAGAGGGGCGGGCGCCAUUGUGCUUCGCUGCCGACUGCAUUUCCUCAGUCACGGGCCUAGAACUCCAAGGAGAAAGGCGGCGGUGCGUGUUGCUGCGAGUGGGACGCGCACUGGUCGGUGCCGGCUCAGGAGCCGGGAAAAAUCUUUAAGAAUGGAGUCUAAACCUUCAAGGAUUCCAAGAAGAAUUUCUGUUCAACCUUCCAGCUCCUUAAGUGCUAGGAUGAUGUCUGGAAGCAGAGGAAGUAGUUUAAAUGAUACCUAUCACUCAAGAGACUCUUCAUUUAGAUUGGAUUCUGAAUAUCAGUCUACAUCAGCAUCAGCAUCUGCGUCACCAUUUCAAUCUGCAUGGUAUAGUGAAUCUGAGAUAACUCAGGGAGCACGCUCAAGAUCGCAGAACCAGCAACGGGAUCAUGAUUCAAAAAGACCUAAACUUUCCUGUACAAACUGUACUACCUCAGCUGGGAGAAAUGUUGGAAAUGGUUUAAACACAUUAUCAGAUUCAUCUUGGAGGCAUAGUCAAGUUCCUAGAUCUUCAUCAAUGGUACUUGGAUCAUUUGGAACAGACUUAAUGAGAGAGAGGAGAGAUUUGGAGAGAAGAACAGAUUCCUCUAUUAGUAAUCUUAUGGAUUAUAGUCACCGAAGUGGUGAUUUCACAACUUCAUCAUAUGUUCAAGACAGAGUUCCUUCAUAUUCACAAGGAGCAAGACC
rnacentral:lncRNA from 1 species